rnacentral:pre_miRNA from 1 species
UAGUGCAAACCACAAAUGUAGUGGAAACUUGGAAACUACCGUUGAAUUGAGAAAUGGACUCCGAGAUUCGUCCACGUCACCAUGAGUUAACAAUUUAACUCCCAGUAAACUUUUAACUCAUGAGUGAAUCUACGAGUUAAAUCUAACCUUCUGUUGAUGUGGACGAAUCUCGGAUGUCCAUUUCUCGAAUCCAACAGUAGUUUUCAAGUUUCCACUAGAUAUGUGGUUUG